rnacentral:lncRNA from 1 species
GGUAACCCAGAUAAUGACCCGCCCAGCGCGUUCUGAUACAUGACCACUCGGGAGAUAUGGGGCUGUUGAUUGCUUUAUUAUUAAUAAUAAACUCAGGAACCAAACACACCUGUGUGGAAGCACCUGCUUUUAUCAACAUACUGCAUAUCUCUCGUUCGACUAGGAAGUGUUUCCUGUUAUUCUGGCAGUUACCUGCAGACGCUACGUAGAAAGGUAAAUACAUACGGAAGCUUCCCGGAACAACGACUAUAAAACUAUAUUAUAUAUUGAUAAUGAUGCUAGCAUUUUAUCAGGAAAGUUGAGACUGUAUCAUAUGUUGGGGUUCGGCAGGGUAGGCUAGUGGUUAGAGCAGGUAGCCUAGUGGUUAGAGCAGGUAGCCUAGUGGUUAGAGCAGGUAGCCUAGUGGUUACAGCAGGUAGCCUUGUGGUUAGAGCAGGUAGCCUAGUGGUUAGAGCAGGUAUACUAGUGGUUAGAGGCAGGUCGCCUUGUGGUUAGAGCAGGUAGCCUAGUGGUUAGAGCAGGUAGCCUAGUGGUUAGAGCAGGUAGCCUAGUGGUUAGAGCAGGUAGCCUAGUGGUUACAGCAGGUAGCCUUGUGGUUAGAGCAGGUAGCCUAGUGGUUAGAGCAGGUAUCCUAGUGGUUAGAGGCAGGUAGCCUAGUGGUUAGAGCAGGUAGCCUAGUGGUUAGAGCAGGUAGCCUAGUGGUUACAGAAGGUAGCCUUGUGGUUAGAGCAGGUAGCCUAGUGGUUAGAGCAGGUAUCCUAGUGGUUAGAGGCAGGUAGCCUUGUGGUUAGAGCAGGUAGCCUAGUGGUUAGAGCAGGUAGCCUAGUGGUUAGAGCAGGUAGCCUAGUGGUUAGAGCAGGUAGCCUAGUGGUUAGAGCAGGUAGCAUAGUGGUUAGAGCAGGUAGCCUAGUGGUUACAGCAGGUAGCCUAGUGGUUAGAGCAGGUAUCCUAGUGGUUAGAGGCAGGUAGCCUUGUGGUUAGAGCAGGUAGCCUAGUGGUUAGAGCAGGUAUCCUAGUGGUUAGAGGCAGGUAGCCUAGUGGUUAGAGCAGGUAGCCUAGUGGUUAGAGCAGGUAGCCUAGUGGUUACAGCAGGUAGCCUUGUGGUUAGAGAAGGUAGCCUAGUGGUUAGAGCAGGUAGCCUAGUGGUUAGAGCAGGUAGCCUAGUGGUUAGAGCAGGUAGCCUAGUGGUUAGAGCAGGUAGCCUAGUGGUUACAACAGGUAGCCUUGUGGUUAGAGCAGGUAGCCUUGUGGUUAGAGCAGGUAGCCUAGUGGUUAGAGCAGGUAUCCUAGUGGUUAGAGCAGGUAGCCUAGUGGUUAGAGCAGGUAGCCUAGUGGUUAGAGCAGGUAGCCUAGUGGUUAGAGCAGGUAGCCUAGUGGUUACAACAGGUAGCCUUGUGGUUAGAGCAGGUAGCCUAGUGGUUAGAGCAGGUAUCCUAGUGGUUAGAGGCAGGUGCCUUGUGGUUAGAGCAGGUAGCCUAGUGGUUAGAGCAGGUAGCCUAGUGGUUAGAGCAGGUAUCCUAGUGGUUAGAGGCAGGUGCCUUGUGGUUAGAGCAGGUAGCCUAGUGGUUAGAGCAGGUAGCCUAGUGGUUAGAGCAGGUAUCCUAGUGGUUAGAGGCAGGUAGCCUAGUGGUUAGAGCAGGUAGCCUAGUGGUUAGAGGCAGGUAGCCUAGUGGUUAGAGCAGGUAGCCUAGUGGUUAGAGACAGGUAGCCUGUUGGUUAGAGCAGGUAUCCUAGUGGUUAGAGGCAGGUAGCCUAGUGGUUGGAGCAGGUAUCCUAGUGGUUAGAGGCAGGUAGCCUAGUGGUUAGAGCAGGUAUCCUAGUGGUUAGAGGCAGGUAGCCUAGUGGUUAGAGGCAGGUAGCCUUGUGGUUAGAGCAGGUAGCCUAGUGGUUAGAGCAGGUAUCCUAGUGGUUAGAGGCAGGUAGCCUAGUGGUUAGAGCAGGUAGCCUAGUGGUUAGAGGCAGGUAGCCUAGUGGUUAGAGGCAGGUAGCCUAGUGGUUAGAGCAGGUAGCCUAGUGGUUAGAGCAGGUAGCCUAGUGGUUAGAGCAGGUAGCCUUGUGGUUAGAGCAGGUAGCCUAGUGGUUAGAGCAGGUAUCCUAGUGGUUAGAGGCAGGUAGCCUAGUGGUUAGAGCAGGUAUCCUAGUGGUUAGAGGCAGGUGCCUUGUGGUUAGAGCAGGUAGCCUAGUGGUUAGAGCAGGUAGCCUAGUGGUUAGAGCAGAUAUCCUAGUGGUUAGAGGCAGGUAGCCUAGUGGUUAGAGGCAGGUAGGCUAGUGGUUAGAGCAGGUAGCCUAGUGGUUAGAGGCAGGUAGCCUAGUGGUUAGAGCAGGUAGCCUAGUGGUUAGAGGCAGGUAGCCUGUUGGUUAGAGCAGGUAUCCUAGUGGUUAGAGGCAGGUAGCCUAGUGGUUAGAGCAGGUAGCCUGUUGGUUAGAGCAGGUAUCCUAGUGGUUAGAGGCAGGUAGCCUAGUGGUUAGAGCAGGUAGCCUGUUGGUUAGAGCAGGUAUCCUAGUGGUUAGAGGCAGGUAGCCUAGUGGUUAGAGCUUUGUGCCAGUAACCAAAAUGUUUGCCCAAUCGAAUCCCCGAGCUGACAAGGUGUAAAAAUCUGUCGUUCUGCCCCUGAACAAGGCAGUUAACCCCACUGUUACCCCGGGUACUACGUCACUGUAAAUAAGAAUUUGUUCUUAACUGACUUCCCUAGUUAAAUAAAAAUAUAUAUUAAAAAAAAAAUUUAAUUAAAUGAUGCUGAUAGGAUUUCAUAUAAAAUACUAAUGUUCUAUAAUCUGAUAUAUUGAUGAUUAAUAAGAGAUGAUAUGUAGCUGGGACUUCAGAAGACAACGACACUAUGGAACAACGAAGAGAUGGUUGGUCUGAGCUCCACACAUUAAUAACCUAUGUUUUAAGGUUGAACAGACGUUGGUAUUCCACCCAUGUUUUAAGGUUGAACAGACGUUGGUAUUCCAUGUUUUAAGGUUGAACAGAUGGUGGUUUGACGUUGGUAUUCCACCCAUGUUUUAAGGUUGAACAGAUGGUGGUUUGACGUUGGUAUUCCACCCAUGUUUUAAGGUUGAACAAACAUUGGAUUGAUGUUGGUAUUCCACCCAUGUUUUAAAGGAGAACAGACGUUGGUAUUCCACCCAUGUUUUAAAGGAGAACAGACGUUGGUAUUCCACCCAUGCUCCACCAAGGUAUUCCAGCUCACAGCUUUGACCCACUACAG